UACGUAGGGGGCAAGCGUUAUCCGGAAUUACUGGGUGUAAAGGGAGCGUAGACGGUAAUGUAAGUCUGGAGUGAAAGGCGGGGGCCCAACCCCCGGACUGCUCUGGAAACUAUGUUACUAGAGUGCAGGAGUGGUAAGCGGAAUUCCUAGUGUAGCGGUGAAAUGCGUAGAUAUUAGGAGGGACACCAGUGGCGAAAGCGGCUCUCUGGUCUGUAACUGACGCUGAGGUGCGAAAGCGUGGGGAGCAAACAGG
rnacentral:rRNA from 1 species